rnacentral:rRNA from 1 species
AUUGAACGCUGGCGGCAGGCCUAACACAUGCAAGUCGAGCGGAUGAAGGGAGCUUGCUCCUGGAUUCAGCGGCGGACGGGUGAGUAAUGCCUAGGAAUCUGCCUGGUAGUGGGGGAUAACGUCCGGAAACGGGCGCUAAUACCGCAUACGUCCUGAGGGAGCAAGUGGGGGAUCUUCGGACCUCACGCUAUCAGAUGAGCCUAGGUCGGAUUAGCUAGUUGGUGGGGCAAAGGCCUACCAAGGCGACGAUCCGUAACUGGUCUGAGAGGAUGAUCAGUCACACGGGAACUGAGACACGGUCCAGACUCCUAAGGGAGGCAGCAGUGGGGAAUAUUGGACAGUGGGCGAAAGCCUGAUCCAGCCAGGCCGCGUGUGUGAAGAAGGUCUUCGGAUUGUAAAGCACUUUAAGGUGGGAGGAAGGGCAGUAAGUUAAUACCUUGCUGUUUUGACGUUACCAACAGAAUAAGCACCGGCUAACUUCGUG